UUUUGUUUCACUAUUGUUUUCUGUCCUGGGUUAGGUGGUGGUUCUGGUGGUGGACUACAGGUGCACCAGCACCUGUAGGGAAAUGGGAGGAUAAGUGGCAGCAUGGGCCCUCCAUUUGGAGUGGUUCCAAUUUUAACAAGAACGACGGUGUUGCUAUUUUAAUCAAGACCCCACAGGUGGUGGUGAAGGGGAGCACGGUGGUGGUAGGAUCGGGAACCAGUAUGUCCAGUGCGCGGGCUCGCUAUAGGAGAGCCCACAACGGUUAGGCGCAACGUGACCCAUCCUGAUCUCCAGAAUCGGCAUCGGGACCUGUCCUGGAUGGUCGCCCACGAGAUCCUCCCGGUCACGGCCGUUAUGCACUCACGGGGCAUGGCGAGGAUAUCCGUGUGCCCCCGACCAGGCUGUGGCCAAGAAGAGUCGGUGAGGCACAUACUCUGGGAGUGCAGAGCCGCCAGGGACCUGUGGAAGGAAGCAGGCCCCCUGAUCACCUCGUGUCUGCCAGCAGGGGAGGACCUAACACCUCAGCUCGUGCUGUAUGGGGUGGGCCGAAGGCCCAUUCCAUCGAAGACCUUCACCAAGCUCUGGUCCACCCUCACAUGCCUGAAGGAAGCACUGUGGUCCUCCCGUAACCUGCUGGUAGCGAAAAACGUAGAGACCACCCCCCAGGCAGUGGCCAUGGUAGCCACGGAAGCCCUGGGGUGGUACGGAAGAUAGG